AGUGAACGCUGGCGGUAGGCCUAACACAUGCAAGUCGAACGGCAGCACAGUAAGAGCUUGCUCUUACGGGUGGCGAGUGGCGGACGGGUGAGGAAUACAUCGGAAUCUACUUUUUCGUGGGGGAUAACGUAGGGAAACUUACGCUAAUACCGCAUACGACCUACGGGUGAAAGCAGGGGAUCUUCGCACCUUGCGCGAUUGAAUGAGCCGAUGUCGGAUUAGCUAGUUGGCGGGGUAAAGGCCCACCAAGGCGACGAUCCGUAGCUGGUCUGAGAGGAUGAUCAGCCACACUGGAACUGAGACACGGUCCAGACUCCUACGGGAGGCAGCAGUGGGGAAUAUUGGACAAUGGGCGCAAGCCUGAUCCAGCCAUACCGAGUGGGUGAAGAAGGCCUUCGGGUUGUAAAGCCCUUUUGUUGGGAAAGAAAAGCAGCAGGUUAAUACCCCGCGGUUCUGACGGUACCCAAAGAAUAAGCACCGGCUAACUUCGUG
rnacentral:rRNA from 1 species